AGAUUGAACGCUGGCGGCAUGCUUUACACAUGCAAGUCGAACGGUAACAGGCCGCAAGGUGCUGACGAGUGGCGAACGGGUGAGUAAUGCAUCGGAACGUGCCCAGUCGUGGGGGAUAACGCAGCGAAAGCUGUGCUAAUACCGCAUACGAUCUAUGGAUGAAAGCGGGGGACCAAAGGCCUCGCGCGAUUGGAGCGGCCGAUGUCAGAUUAGCUAGUUGGUGGGUAAGGCCCACCAAGGCGACGAUCUGUAGCUGGUCUGAGAGGACGACCAGCCACACUGGAACUGAGACACGGUCCAGACCUCCUACGGGAGGCAGCGAGUGGGGAAUUUUGGACAAGUGGGCGCAAGCCUGGAUCCGAGCGAUCGCCGCGUGCGAGGAAGAAGGCCGUUACGGUGUAACGUGU
rnacentral:rRNA from 1 species